rnacentral:rRNA from 1 species
UUCGCAAUGCCCGAAAGGGUGACGAAGCGACGCCGCGUGUGGGAAGAAGGCCUUCGGGUUGUAAACCACUGUCGGGAGUUAGGAAAUGUAAGGGUGCUAAUAGUAUCCUUACUUGACUAAGGCUCCGGAGGAAGCCACGGCUAACUCUGUGCCAGCAGCCGCGGUAAUACAGAGGCGGCAAGCGUUGUUCGGAAUUAUUGGGCGUAAAGAGCACGUAGGCGGCCGUGUAAGUCGGUUGUGAAAGCCUUCCGCUCAACGGAAGGACGGCAUCCGAUACUGCAUGGCUCGAGUGCGGGAGGGGAGAGUGGAACUUCUGGUGGAGCGGUGAAAUGCGUAGAUAUCAGAAGGAACACCGGCGGCGAAGGCGACUCUCUGGUCCGUAACUGACGCUGAGUGUGCGAAAGCUAGGGGAGCAAACGGGAUUAGAUACCCCGGUAGUCCUAGCCGUAAAC